CAGUCGCCACGGUAAUACGAAGGGUGCAAGCGUUAAUCGGAAUUACUGGGCGUAAAGCGUGCGUAGGCGGUUUGUUAAGUCUGCUGUGAAAUCCCCGGGCUCAACCUGGGAAUGGCAAUGGAUACUGGCAAGCUAGAGUGUGUCAGAGGAUGGUGGAAUUCCCGGUGUAGCGGUGAAAUGCGUAGAGAUCGGGAGGAACAUCAGUGGCGAAGGCGGCCAUCUGGGACAACACUGACGCUGAGGCACGAAAGCGUGGGGAGCAAACAGGAUUAGAUACCCCUGUAGUCCCUGUCUCUUAUAA
rnacentral:rRNA from 1 species